GAUGAACGCUGGCGGCGUGCCUAAUACAUGCAAGUCGAGCGAACGGACGAGAAGCUUGCUUCUCUGAUGUUAGCGGCGGACGGGUGAGUAACACGUGGAUAACCUACCUAUAAGACUGGGAUAACUUCGGGAAACCGGAGCUAAUACCGGAUAAUAUUUUGAACCGCAUGGUUCAAAAGUGAAAGACGGUCUUGCUGUCACUUAUAGAUGGAUCCGCGCUGCAUUAGCUAGUUGGUAAGGUAACGGCUCACCAAGGCAACGAUGCAUAGCCGACCUGAGAGGGUGAUCGGCCACACUGGAACUGAGACACGGUCCAGACUCCUACGGGAGGCAGCAGUAGGGAACCUUCCGCAAUGGGCGAAAGCCUGACGGAGCAACGCCGCGUGAGUGAUGAAGGUCUUCGGAUCGUAAAACUCUGUUAUUAGGGAAGAACAUAUGUGUAAGUAACUGUGCACAUCUUGACGGUACCUAAUCAGAAAGCCACGGCUAACUACGUG
rnacentral:rRNA from 1 species